rnacentral:lncRNA from 1 species
UCUUAACCAAAGAACAGGGGAAAAAGAAAUCAAAUGCACCCUGCAGUAGAGACAGUCUUGUUGGCUUGGCAGCCCCUGAGAAACAGUGUUAGGUAGUGGAACUAAGGCUUAAGUGAAGGUCAGAGUUUCCUCCUUUCUUCCUGCUCUGGGCCUUAUUCCUUAUCUGAAGGAAGAACUGUUUCUAUAGAGCACGCAUUUUCCCCAACCACCUGAAUUAUGACGUUAAUAACCAGUGACCAGCAGAACAGAGAGAGCUAGCUGAAAGAGACUAGCAUGUUGUCAUCAUUUCAAUGCUAUGCCUCCUCCCCACCCUGGUCUGCUUGGGAGAAGGCCAGAAAGAGGUCAGAAAGAUGUCAUUUCAUGUUUGAUCUACUUCUGAGAUACUUUUUUCUUCAAAUUAUUGUGGCCCAAAUGGACAGACUGGAAGGACUCAGAGAACAACUGCAAGGACUCAGGGAUAGAAGAGCUAAUGCUGUCAAUUCUACAUAGAGAAAAAGAAAAUGGAAAUUUAAAGACUGGAAGGAGACUGCUCCCAGAAGUUGCUCAGAAUUGGCUGCUGCAUGAAUCAAAGUUUCCUUGAGAACAUCAAAAGGCACGCUGCAGAUCCCAGGAGGGCACCUUACGAUUCCAGGAUUACUUCACCCCUGUAUUUGAUAGAUACAUCUAUUGGCUCCGGCUCUGUGCCAGGCAUGGCUCCCAGCAGAACAGAAAAGCAAGGUU